UAGUGAUUAAAUCGAGGCGUGUCUUCAUUGACGGCGCUCAGCACCUUCUCACCAUCCACAUACACCUGUGCAGCUGUUUAGCCUGAGGCCGGUUUUCGGGGCGGUCCAGGUUAUCAUUUCAUAGCAAAGCUCUAGUCUUAUGAAUGUAAAGCGUUUUAAUAAGCAUAAUAAAACUUUCUAACAAGCGGAUCUCUUGGUUCUGCUCAGCAUCGAUGAUUCAGCUGAAUUCUGGGCAAUUGCAGCAUUAGCUUAUCGGCAUUUCGCUGGGCGUUCUUCAUCGAUGCGAGAACCAAGAGAUCCGUUGUUGAAAGUUUUAUUAUGUUAUUAAAACGUUUAGCAUUGCAUAAGACUAGAGUUUGUAUGAAAUGAUAACCUGGACCGGAAAAGCCGGCUCAGGCUAAACAGUGGCAGCAGGUGUAUGUGGAUGGUGAGAAGGGUGAGGCGGUCAAUGAAGAGCAGCGCUCGAUUUAAUCACUAGUGAUCCUUCGCGGCAGGUUGCAGGCCUAGCGGAAACCUUGUUAGCGACUUUUAGCUUCGCUCUAAAUGACCAAGCGUACGAUUAUCUCUGUAGAGUCCUAUCUCUCUCAAGGCAACAACUAGCAGGCAGUCUGCCUUGAUGCAACCUCUCAGAUUCUCUCUCCUCUCUACCGCUCUCCUGCUUAGCUCGCUUAGGUCAUUUAGUAGUAAGUCAUUAUUAAAAGUGCGUAAGCAAGGUGUCGCGUAGGUGAAGCCUUCGGAAGGAAUCACUAGGUGAUUAAUCGAGCGUUGUCUUCAUUGAGGCCGCUGCACAGCCCUAUUCUCGACGGCGAUCCACUAUACACCUUGUGAGCACUGUUUAGCCUGAGGCACGGUUUUCGCGGUCUCAUGGUUAUGCAUUUCAUGACAAACUGCUAGACCAAAAAAAUCCUUAUGAAUUGUAAACGUUUUAAUAGAGCAUUAAUAACA
rnacentral:misc_RNA from 1 species